GCAAUGUAUCUUAAAAUGUGAUUUAAAACCUCAUGUUAACGACACUUCUAUUCUUUUGCCUAACCAUAUAUUUAAAUUAACACCAAAAAGCACAUUUGUGUUGACAUGAAUUACAAUAUAUUUUGACUGUGUGGCUGUGGUAAUUAGUGGAAGGGCAUCAACUGGGUCCGCGCCACCAACAUACGAAGGACAGCAUCGACCUCGACCAGACAUUCGCAACGCAGGCUGUAGUGGGACAGAAACCUCGUAGAGCCAAAGAUCGCGUAUCCGUCGUCAGAUUAACCUUUUCAGUUCUAAUUGCCUCAUCGUCUCGCACAUUGCAGAGCCUUUGGAAACCUGGCUCAACAAGGACACAACUUCACCAUGUCAGAAACCAUUCAGAGAAAGACUGGCUUGGCCAACUCUGCUGAAGCCAAGAAAACAGAGCUCAGAAUUAAUGAGAAGAAAUGCUCAUGGGCAUCCUACAUGACAAACUCUCCCACAGUGAUUGUAAUGAUCGGCCUACCUGCCAGGGGAAAGACCUACAUGUCUAAGAAACUGACACGGUACCUCAACUGGAUAGGGGUGCCAACCAAAGUGUUUAACUUGGGUGUCUACCGCCGAGAGGCCGUCAAAGCUUACAAGUCCUACGACUUCUUCAGGCACGACAACAAGGAAGCCAUGGAAAUAAGGAAACAGUGUGCCCUGGUAGCCCUGGAGGAUGUGAAGGGAUAUCUAACUGAAGAAGGUGGACAAAUCGCUGUAUUUGAUGCAACAAACACAACAAGGGAGAGGAGAGACCUCAUUCUUGAUUUUGGGAAAGAGAAUGCAUUCAAGGUGUUCUUUGUGGAGUCAGUGUGUGACGACCCAGAAGUCAUUGCUGCUAAUAUUCUGGAAGUGAAGGUAUCCAGUCCAGACUACCCAGAGAGGCACAGAGAGAGAGUGAUGGAUGACUUUCUCAAACGCAUAGAGUGCUAUAAGGUUACAUACCAACCUUUGGAUCCCGAUGAUUAUGACAAGGACCUAUCCUUCAUCAAGGUGGAGAACGUGGGCCGGCGCUUCCUGGUGAACCGGGUGCAGGACUACAUCCAGAGUAAGAUAGUGUACUACCUCAUGAACAUCCAAGUGCACUCUCACUCCCUCUACCUGUGCCGGCAUGGAGAGAGCAAUCACAACAUGGAGGGCCGUAUCGGAGGUGACUCGGAGCUCUCCCCAGGAGGAAAACAGUUUGCUCAUGCCUUGCACAGCUUCAUUGAGGAGCACAAACUGUCUGACUUGAAGGUAUGGACUAGCCAGCUGAGACGCACCAUCCAGACUGCUGAGGAGCUGAUUGUGCCCUACGAACAGUGGAAGAUCCUCAAUGAGAUUGAUGCUGGUGUGUGUGAGGAGAUGACCUAUGAUAUGAUCCAGAAAUCCUUCCCAGAGGAGUUUGCCCUGAGGGACCAGGACAAGUACCACUACCGCUACCCAGGGGGAGAGUCCUACCAGGACCUGGUGCAGCGGUUAGAGCCUGUCAUCAUGGAGCUAGAGAGACAGGGCAAUGUGCUGGUUAUCUGUCACCAGGCUGUCAUGCGCUGCCUGCUGGCCUACUUCUUGGAUAAGAGUGCAGAUGACCUGCCCUACCUGAAAUGUCCACUGCACACAGUGCUCAAACUCACUCCUGUUGCGUAUGGCUGUAAAGUGGAAAUGUUUUAUCUUAAUGUGAAGGCAGUGAACACACAUCGCGACCGACCACUUGAUAAUGUCCCGAGGGACCCAGCUCCCAUGCUGCUCCGACGGAAUAGUUAUACCCCCCUGUCCAGUCUCGACCAGUUCAAGCGGCCCAGGCUCUACAGUGCCGGCAACCGGCCCUGGCUCCCUGAGAUGCCAGAGGGGAUGCUGCAGCAAAGCCAAGUUAGUGUCAAAAAUUGGCACCCACUUAAUGAAUCACUCUUAAUUCAACUCGGUCACCUCCCUCUUCCCACCUGCCACCCUCACCCCAAGCCAAUCCCUCUUUAUCCUUAGCAUCCCCUCACCCUUAAAUCCCUUUGAUAAUCCAGACAUGUUGUGGUCUUGUUGGUGGCUUCUCUUUAUAUUAUGUCUGUCUCUCCUCCAACAUCAGCUGUUUGUCUUGCAUGGUCUCCCCUUUUCUUCAUAGGCUGUAUGUCUCCAGCUUGAAUAUGCAUAGCACUAUUCCUAUCCCAAACAAACUGCACCUCUUAUACUCAUUUACGUCUUCUGAAUACCAUUCCAGAAGAUACACAGUUAAAACGUCUUCCAGUAAGCAGGUGUUAUACAUUAGUCAGUUAAAUCCAGCUGGUGAUCCUAGGAGAAGCAUGCUCUGUACAACAAUUAGCUUCAGAGCUCAAUACCACACAAGGACAGUAAAUAUAGACAUGUUGAUGUUUUGAGAUGCAUAUUCAACGUUUCUUGUUGUGGUGCAAGUCUGUUGGUUCAAUUUGGUUUGUUGUGAGUUCAGUACUAUAGCUAGUCCCCCCAUUUGUGUCUCUUCCUUUUGUCCCUUCCUGUCUGUCUGUCUGUCAUUACAGCCUCGUAUAGGAAGCUGUUUUCUGACUCCCUGUGUGAAGGAGUCGACUAUGACAGCCCAGAAACUAGUGGCUGUUUCCGCUUCUGAGUGACUACGAAGUCACCUUCAUGUUCAGCUGGUGCCUCAGUUUCUCCCUGUGACCUGAAGCUCAUCAUCAUCCUCUCCUCCAUUUCUCUGCAUGCCAAACCUCUGGAACAACUGGUGGAAUACUGUAACAAAAAAAAGCAGUUGUAGAAACAUCUCACGGAUGAUCAGUGGAAACAGGAUGCACCUGAGCUCAAUUUCGAUUCUCAUAGCAAAGGGUCUGAAUACUUAUGUAAAUAAGGUGUUUCAACCUGUUUUCGCUUUGUCAUUAUGGGGUAUUGUGUGUAGAUUGCUGAGGAUUAUUUAAUUCAUUUUAGAAUAAGGCUGUAACGUAACAAAAUGUGGGGAAAAAAUCUAGUGGGCUGAAUAAUUUCCGAAGGCACUGUGUAUAUAUAUUAUAUAUAAUUUUAGAUUAGAAGUUAGUCCAGUGCUCUUUAAAAAUUAAAUUAUUGUAUACUGAAAUGGUCACAUUUCUUAAUGUUGCAAGUUAUUUCCUGUGCCUUUUGGGGCAUGCUGCAUAAUAAAUAUGUGUAUAAUCAUACACAUGAAGGUUCCAAAUAAAUGUCAAGAGGUGUGACUAUAUAUUUGAUAGUUUUCCAAGGAUAGCCUGCUCUGCUCAAGAAUGUACUGUAUUCAAUACACGGCUGCGUGAAUUUUAACAUGCCAAAUGUUGCCUGUUGAUAUGGACUUCAUUGCAUCAAUCAGCUAGUUUAGCAUUGUUGAAUUGUAUUUAAGACGUUUCUCCAGUAAUUGUAUUAAAGAAUCAAUGAAGAUAUAAAACAGAUGUAAUUGUU